GGCCUGCUGGCCCAAUGGUAAGGCGCUUGACUACGAACAUACGCAGGGAUCGAACCUGUAUGUGGACGCAUCAAGAGAUUGCAGGUUCGAGCCCUGCGUAGGUCA
rfam:Sclerotinia borealis F-4128 unplaced genomic scaffold scaffold00074, whole genome shotgun sequence.